UUAUUUGAGAGUUUGAUCCUGGCUCAGGAUGAACGCUGGCGGCGUGCCUAACACAUGCAAGUUGAGCGAUUUACUUCGGUAAAGAGCGGCGGACGGGUGAGUAACGCGUGGGUAACCUACCCUGUACACACGGAUAACAUACCGAAAGGUAUGCUAAUACGGGAUAAUAUAUUUGAGAGGCAUCUCUUGAAUAU
rnacentral:rRNA from 1 species